AUACGGAGGAUCCGAGCGUUAUCCGGAUUUAUUGGGUUUAAAGGGUGCGCAGGCGGCCAUUUAAGUCAGCGGUUAAAUCGUGGGGCUCAACCCCAUUCUGCCGUUGAUACUGGGUGGCUUGAUUGCGGUCGAGGUUGGCGGAAUUCGUUGUGUAGCGGGGAAAUGCAUAGAUAUGACGAAGAACACCGAUUGCGUAGGCAGCUGACCAGACCGCAAAUGACGCUCAUGCACGAAAGUGCGGGGAUCGAACAGGAUUAGAUACCCUGGUAGUCCGCACAGUAAACGAUGAAUACUUGUUUUCGGCGAUAUAAUGUCGGAGGCAAAGCGAAAGCGGUAAGUAUUCCACCUGGGGAGUACGCCGGCAACGGUGAAACUCAAAUGAAUUGACGGGG
rnacentral:rRNA from 1 species